GCUGAAGAUACUUAAUAAGUCAUGCACAUAGGGAAAUAGAAACAGCACACAUUGAUGCACACAAAUGACAAAAGCAGAGACCACAUGGGAAAGAUAUCACCUUAUUGAACCAAACCUGCUGAGCAGCCAACAAAAACACAAUAGACGUGUGAGGGGUUAGGUUAGCUGGAAAUAACUAGACUACAGAGCAGAAAGUGCUGUUAAUAGAAUCAUAGAAUCAUAGAAUGGCUUGGGUUGGGUUGGAAGGGACCUUAAUGAUCACCUAGUUCCAAAUCCCCUACUGUGGGCAAGGUUGCCACCCACUAGAUCAGGUUGCCCACUGUUAUACCACCAUCUAAAUAGUGAACAUGCAAAAAAGGUGUAUUUCAUUGUGAGAGGUCAGACAAAAUGUCUGAAAACUAUGUAUGCUUCUUUUACCUCCAAGUUUUAAAAGGCUUGAUUUGGAAGGCAGGAAUUUGGGAAAAGGUUGUAUGCAAGGGUUAGUGAAACUAUCAUGAGAACAGACAAGAACACAUCAGAAUGAAAGGUCACACAGUGUUACUUAAAGUCUGACUCAUCUCAAAAGACACUUUUGAUAGUUGCCAUGCAUUAAAUAACUUUGUGUAUUGCUGUUAUAAUUUUCAGAUUCACUCAGGAGUGUUUGCAAGAGGGAAAGGGGCAAAGCUUCUGUAUAGAAGAACUUUUCAAGCUGAAGAAGAUUGUACAGCCAGUGCCCACCUGCUCAAGUGAAUUCAGAGGCAGGUCAUGAACUGAUGCAAGAUCAAGGAAUGUAGUACUGUUUGGCUGUUGAAAAGGUGGUUGAAAAAUGUUUUGGGUCCUACCCUAGGACAUGAUCUGAAAGAACUAUAGAACUGGAGAAAUGAAAGAACAUUGGUCCCUUGACAGCUUUUAAGUUGAAUACUUUCACUGACUCUAAUGCAGCCAGGUAGGUUUAUCACUUUAGAAUUUCUCAUACAAAAUGCAGAGUUUAAUAUUUUGGUCUUUGAAUGCCUGGCUAAAUCAAAAGCAAUUGGCAAUACUUUGAGUCAGUGUUAUUGCCACAUAUCAUCCAGACUGAUGUGCAUCAUUCAAGAGGUACUUCUGUCUUGCAUUUUGUUUACUUUUAACAUCAUGCAUUCCUUCAUACCCACAUUUCUACUGCAGAGCUGCUGACCUCACAGGCAUGCGCACAGCUAACCCAUGCAGACUGC
ensembl:lncRNA